GAGGGGGUUAAAGGGGAAUAACUUCUCCUUUCUUCGGCUGGCGGCGGCCGGAGCGGGGCGCCCCGCCGCUGCCCCUGCGCGCGGCCUCGGCGGCGAGGUUGGCUUGGCGCUUGGUGGUUUCGAGAGCGAGGCCGGCGAAGACGAAGUAGACGGAGUUGGUUUUGAAGGGCAGGCGGGUGUGGUGACUGGCGACGACGAGCGGCGGAGAGCGCUUCUUGUGGACGGCGACGGCGGCGGCGACCCCGAGCUCCCACAUUGCAAGCGCCUCCUGCGGCCACCCUCGCCACCCCGGCUACCCGCGCCGCCCGAUUGCCCGCCACGGCCGCGUCGCCCCGCCCGGCCGCGCCGCCCGGCCUUGACCCCGGCCGCCUGCGCCACCUCCUCCUCCUUGCGGCAACAUGGUGCGCCACGUACUAUCAUCCCCAGCUGGUGGAGGCGAAGGCCACGACUCGGAGGGCUAGCAGAGGAGAUCCCGCGGCCCGCUUCGAAAUGGGGGCCAUGGAGAUGGAUGGCGCCGCACCAGUACGGCCUCACCACCGCCAAGCUCAGAGUAGAUAGGGUCUGAUGCCGGCGAUGUUUAGCAGAUGCGUCGGCAUUUGGGAGAUACACGAGCUUAGCGAAGCUCCUUGCGCCAGCUGACAAGCUCUUCCAGAUCCGGCCAGCGCAACUAGCGCGCUGGAGCUGAACCAGCUUGGCGGACGAAUGGCCAUGGGUGCCGUUGGUGACCGAAGAGAAGCCAGCUCCAGAGGUGAAGCGCUCCCGCCCCUAGCAGCUUCGCGAACAAGGUGCGCAUGGUACAGGUCGUUGCUGGCUGGCCUACGUAUCUGUCAACAAUCGCUGGGGACUCCUUGGAGAAGAUCAACAAGCGGUCCUUGCAGACUUGCAUGGAUUGAAAGUCAAACCACAGCUGGAUGAUGAUGCUGCACUUCCAUUUCUACUACAGAAUGAGCAACCAGAUGGGGCUACGAGCUGCAGUGGUGGCCACUCAAGUUCCUGAAUAAGGUGGUAUUGGUGGACCAUAUUAUUUGUGGCAUGGGAAGUAAAGGCAUUUGUCGAUCUGGUAGAUGUUUGGCUAUAUUGUACUGUCGGAUCAUUUAUUAGUUUGAAAAAGAACAAAGUAUGCAUGAAAAA